rnacentral:tRNA from 1 species
GGGGAUCUAGCUCAGUUGGUAGAGUGCUUGCUUAGCAUGCACAAGACCCUGGGUUCAAACCCCAGCACCACCA